UGCCUCAGUAACGGCGAGUGAAGCGGCAACAGCUCAAAUUUGAAAUCUGGCCCCCGGGUCCGAGUUGUAAUUUGCAGAGGAUGUUUCUGGCGACGUGUCUUCCGAGUUCCCUGGAACGGGACGCCAAAGAGGGUGAGAGCCCCGUCCGGUCGAACGCCUAGCCUAUGUGAAACUCCUUCGACGAGUCGAGUAGUUUGGGAAUGCUGCUCUAAAUGGGAGGUAUACGUCUUCUAAAGCUAAAUACCGGCCAGAGACCGAUAGCGCACAAGUAGAGUGAUCGAAAGAUGAAAAGCACUUUGAAAAGAGAGUUAAAUAGUACGUGAAAUUGCUGAAAGGGAAGCGCUCAUGACCAGACUUGGGCUCGGUGAAUCAUCCGGCGUUCUCGCCGGUGCACUUUGCCGGCUCAGGCCAGCAUCAGUUCGCCUCGGGGGUCAAAGGUUUCGGGAAUGUGGCUCCUCCGGGAGUGUUAUAGCCCGUUGCGUAAUACCCUGGGGUGGACUGAGGUACGCGUUCUGCAUGGAUGCUGGCGUAAUGGUCAUCAGUGACCCGUCUUGAAACACGGACCAAGGAGUCGUCUUCGUAUGCGAGUGUUCGGGUGUCAAACCCCUACGCGGAAUGAAAGUGAACGUAGGAGAGAGCUUCGGCGCAUCUCCGACCGAUCCUGAUGUUCUCGGAUGGAUUUGAGUAAGAGCAUACGGGGCCGGACCCGAAAGAAGGUGAACUAUGCCUGUAUAGGGUGAAGCCAGAGGAAACUCUGGUGGAGGCUCGCAGCGGUUCUGACGUGCAAAUCGAUCGUCAAAUAUGGGCAUGGGGGCGAAAGACUAAUCGAACCUUCUAGUAGCUGGUUUCCGCCGAAGUUUCCCUCAGGAUAGCAGUGUUGAACUCAGUUUUAUGAGGUAAAGCGAAUGAUUAGGGACCAGGGGGCGCUUUUUAGCCUUCAUCCAUUCUCAAACUUUAAAUAUGUAAGAAGCUCUUGUUCUUAAUUGAACGUGAGCAUACGAAUGUAUCAACACUAGUGGGCCAUUUUUGGUUAAGCAGAACUGGCGAUGCGGGAUGAACCGAACGCGAGGUUAAGGU
rnacentral:rRNA from 1 species